rnacentral:rRNA from 1 species
AACGAACGCUGGCGGCAUGCCUAACACAUGCAAGUCGAACGAGACCUUCGGGUCUAGUGGCGCACGGGUGCGUAACGCGUGGGAACCUGCCCUUAGGUUCGGAAUAACUCCCCGAAAGGGGUGCUAAUACCGGAUAAUGUCUUCGGACCAAAGAUUUAUCGCCUUUGGAUGGGCCCGCGUUGGAUUAGCUAGUUGGUAGGGUAAAAGCCUACCAAGGCGACGAUCCAUAGCUGGUCUGAGAGGAUGAUCAGCCAGACUGGGACUGAGACACGGCCCAGACUCCUACGGGAGGCAGCAGUGGGGAAUAUUGGACGAUGGGGGAAAGCCUGAUCCAGCAAUGCCGCGGGAGUGAUGAAGGCCUUAGUGUUGUAAAGCUCUUUUACCCGGGAUGAUAAUGACAGUACCGGGAGAAUAAGCUCCGGCUAACUCCGUG